rfam:Pyrenophora tritici-repentis Pt-1C-BFP supercont1.7 genomic scaffold, whole genome shotgun sequence.
CACCCUCCUUAAGUCAAGGACCUAUUCCUAUUCCAUGAAAUGGUUCUGUUACAAGUUGGGAAGAGCAAAAGUGGCUCGCCGUCCUAAGAUCGUCUUGAUCUCGGGUCGACUGCAACCGUCUUGGUUGUGGUCAAUAGAGUCACGCGUGAUUUGUUUGAGUUGAGGACCGUCUCUGCACUAGCAGCUUCAUGGCGGUACUCUUAGUAAUAUUUCGCACAUUC